AUUGAACGCUGGCGGCAUGCCUUACACAUGCAAGUCGAACGGUAACAGGUCUUCGGAUGCUGACGAGUGGCGAACGGGUGAGUAAUACAUCGGAACGUGCCUAGUAGUGGGGGACAACUACUCGAAAGAGUGGCUAAUACCGCAUGAGAUCUACGGAUGAAAGCAGGGGAUCGCAAGACCUUGUGCUACUAGAGCGGCCGAUGGCAGAUUAGGUAGUUGGUGGGAUAAAAGCUUACCAAGCCGACGAUCUGUAGCUGGUCUGAGAGGACGAUCAGCCAAACUGGGACUGAGACACUGCCCAGACUCCUACGGGAGGCAGCAGUGGGGAAUUUUGGACAAUGGGCGCAAGCCUGAUCCAGCAAUGCCGCGUGCAGGAUGAAGGCCUUCGGGUUGUAAACUGCUUUUGUACGGAACGAAAAGCCCUGGGUUAAUACCCUGGGGUCAUGACGGUACCGUAAGAAUAAGCACCGGCUAACUACGUGCCAGCCGCCGCGGUAA
rnacentral:rRNA from 1 species